rnacentral:rRNA from 1 species
GAAUCUGCCUUUAGGUCCGGGACAACCACUGGAAACGGUGGCUAAUACCGGAUGUGCCGCAACGUGAAAGGGGAAACCCGCCUGAAGAUGAGCUCGCGUCUGAUUAGCUAGUUGGUGAGGUAAAGGCUCACCAAGGCGACGAUCAGUAGCUGGUCUGAGAGGAUGACCAGCCACACUGGGACUGAGACACGGCCCAGACUCCUACGGGAGGCAGCAGUGGGGAAUUUUCCGCAAUGGGCGAAAGCCUGACGGAGCAAGACCGCGUGAGGGAAGAAGGCUCUUGGGUCGUAAACCUCUUUUGUCAGGGAAGAACACAAUGACGGUACCUGACGAAUCAGCCUCGGCUAACUCCGUGCCAGCAGCCGCGGUAAUACGGAGGAGGCAAGCGUUAUCCGGAAUUAUUGGGCGUAAAGCGUCCGUAGGUGGCUAGUCAAGUCUGCGGUCAAAGACUGGGGCUUAACCCUGGAAAGGCCGUGGAAACUGACGAGCUAGAGUGCAGUAGGGGUAGAGGGAAUUCCCAGUGUAGCGGUGAAAUGCGUAGAGAUUGGGAAGAACACCGGUGGCGAAAGCGCUCUGCUGGACUGCAACUGACACUCAUGGACGAAAGCUAGGGGAGCG